rnacentral:rRNA from 1 species
ACAGGACGGAAAGCCCCGGGGGAGCUUUACUGCAACCUGAUAUGGAAUGUUUGUACCGCUUGUACAGGAUAGGUAGGAGCCGAAGAGACGUGUGCGCUAGCAUACGAGGAGGCAAUGGUGGGAUACUCCCCGGGCUGUAUGACCAUUCUAACCCGCCACGCUUAGCGCGUGGGGAGACAGUGUCAGGUGGGCAGUUUGACUGGGGCGGUCGCCUCCUAAAGAGUAACGGAGGCGCCCAAAGGUUCCCUCAGAAUGGAUG